UCUCCAUCAUCCUCUGGCGCGAUAAUGGCAAGACCAUCAUGCAGCAGGAACAAUCAGUAUGAGUAAUUGUGCUCCAUGUUGGUUAAUUUCUGAACCAAGUAUUCAGAUUUGAGAAGCCCAACAGAAAGAGUUCAGUAAUAUCUUACUUAUGAAUGCUGGUCACUCAUUAAUUGCGAAAACUUUCAUGUCGUCUAAAAGUCAUGCUUCACAGGUUUAUGGCUUGAUGGAUUCAAAAAUUGAGCUCAGUUCUAACUAUGAAAGAGUUA